UGGGGAAUCUUGGACAAUGGGCGCAAGCCUGAUCCAGCCAUGCCGCGUGGAUGAUGAAGGCCUUAGGGUUGUAAAAUCCUUUCGUUGGGGACGAUAAUGACGGUACCCAAAGAAGAAGCUCCGGCUAACUUCGUGCCAGCAGCCGCGGUAAUACGAAGGGGGCUAGCGUUGUUCGGAUUUACUGGGCGUAAAGCGCGUGUAGGCGGAUUUGUAAGUUGGGGGUGAAAUCCCGAGGCUCAACCUCGGAACUGCCUCCAAAACUACAAGUCUGGACCUAAGUAGAGGCAAGUGGAAUUGCGAGUGUAGAGGUGAAAUUCGUAGAUAUUCGCAGGAACACCAGUGGCGAAGGCGACUUGCUGGACUUAUGGUGACGCUGAGACGCGAAAGCGUGGGGAGCAAACAGGAUUAGAUACCCCAGUAGUCCCUGAGCGGGCUGGCAAGGCGCAU
rnacentral:rRNA from 1 species